GCGAGAUGAGGCCGGCGGCGAUUGUGGGAGGGUCCGCGGCCGCUACGCAGAACGAACAGACCUCAGUCAGGGACAAGCUAAAGUGGUCGUGGAUGCGACGACUAUUCAUGACGACCCAUUGAUAGAGGUCAGACCGACAAAAUCUAAAGAAUUGUUAGUGUCUAAGGAUUCUCGAGUCAGAUGGCGAAUAGGCCAUUGCAUCCGCGAACGACGGCACUGCUUCUGUUCAUAGCAGUGGCCACAUGGACAGGCUUGUUGGCGGCUCCCGCAAUAAAUUCAACGAACAGCGCUCUAACAAAAAUUAUUGCUUCUCGUCAGAUUUUCACAUCAACCACACCCGUUUCAUACUUUAAUUACGUCGCCGUUUUGAAAAAUCGCGCCACUUACUAUGACUGAAGAUGAGAAUAGUUCUGUGUUUCCGUACUUCAUAAUUGCCGAUUACCGUGGUGACGAGUCGACCAGAUGUUAAUUCAUCCCGGCCCGAAAGAGGUCUGGCGCUGGAAUUGCAAGCGCACCGUUUCCCAGGGGACCUAUUCACAUGUAAUAC